rnacentral:lncRNA from 1 species
AAAGGGAGGGUAGCCUUCUUUCUCUCUCUACCUGCAAAGUCCAAGGCAUUUACAAAUGCCAUGACACACACCCUAUAUUAGGUCUGCCCAAUUCUGCAUGGAGGCAGAAGUUUUUCUUUUUUCUUUUUUUUUUUUUUUGGGUUACAUGAGGCAGCAGGAAUUUUCAGAGGCAGCCAGCCAGCUGACUGGCUUCCCAUCUGAAGUUUUCAAAUACACCCAAAAUAUGUGUUCUCCUCCUCUCUCCUUUACUUGGACCCCUUUUCUCUACCACAACCACAUCCCUAUCUUAAUUCUUAUGGUCUCUUGGAUUUUUUCAAAGGCAGGCACCGCCCUUGAUUGAUUUGAAAAGGCCAACUCCCCUAGAAAACACCACAUGAAUUAUAUAUGUAUUAUGUGCCAAACCCAAGCCUUGUUUGUAGGAUCAUGAGGACUUGCAGUUGAAACCUCAUUGCCUGCCCAUAAAGUUGACAUUGUGACAAGAAAGAAUACAGAGGGAUGAGAUGGGAGACGUAUAUGUUUUGACCCAUGCAGCUUUAAACAAUAAUAUAGUUUGGAUGCCAUUCAAAACUUGUUAGAGAGAUAAGAGGCCUAUUAUUACUUAUCCGAAAGUUAGGAAAGACAUAAAGGUCUCUCUUCAUAUAUUCUAUCAAAUUAUUUUAGCGUAGUAAGUUGUAAAGAGUAAUAUAGUAAUAGUAGUUAUUUAAGUUAAUAAAG